CCUACGGGAGGCAGCAGUGAGGAAUAUUGGUCAAUGGUCGGGAGACUGAACCAGCCAAGCCGCGUGAGGGAUGAAGGUACAGAGUAUCGUAAACCUCUUUUGUCAGGGAACAAAGGCGGGGACGUGUCCCCGGAUGAGUGUACCUGAAGAAAAAGCAUCGGCUAACUCCGUGCCAGCAGCCGCGGUAAUACGGAGGAUGCGAGCGUUAUCCGGAUUUAUGGGGUUUAAAGGGUGCGCAGGCGGACUGUUAAGUCAGCGGUCAAAGCCCGGGGCUCAACCACGGCCCGCCGUUGAAACUGGCAGUCUCGAGUUGGAGAGAAGUAUGCGGAAUGCGCGGUGUAGCGGUGAAAUGCAUAGAUAUCGCGCAGAACUCCGAUUGCGAAGGCAGCAUGCCGGCUCCACACUGACGCUGAGGCACGAAAGCGUGGGUAUCGAACAGGAUUAGAUACCCGGGUAGUC
rnacentral:rRNA from 1 species